rnacentral:lncRNA from 1 species
GAGGAAUCUUAUGUAAAUACCACAGAAUAAGGUUUGGUCCUAUUCAUGGGGAUUCUGUAACUAUUCCAUUCCAAAAAGAUAAAAAAAUUCGAAACAAUUGGAAUUUUUUUGGAGAUUGGAUGCAGUUACUAAUUCAUGCUUGAUUGGGAGCACCCCACUUACACCCAAUGUCUUCUCUUUGUGCAAUUCUACAAUUUCAUUUUUAUUUUGUUUCAUCAGUAACAGAUCUUACAAAUUGUGAGACAAAUGUAAAACUCAUCUUU